UAAAUUUCCCAUGGCAAACUGCUCAGUAACACAUGAUCAACUUACCCUAUAGAGAAAAAUAACNUCGGGAAACUGAGGAUAAUAUUUCAUAGUUGAAUAGGCUUGGAAAAGUUCUUCAAUAAAAGGGAUAAAAAAAAUGGUUUUUAUCUGCUAUAGGAUAGGAUCGUGGACGAUUAUGGUUGUUGGCGAGGUAACGGCUCACCAAGCCGAUAAUCGAUAGGGGCCGUGAGAGCGGGAGCCCCGAGAUGGGUACUGAGACAACGACCCAGGCCUUACGAGGCGCAGCAGGCGCGGAACCUCCGCAAUACACGAAAGUGUGACGGGGUUACCCAAAGUGUUCAAUUCUGAACUGUGGUAGGUGAGUAAUGUUCCCUACUAGAAAGGAGAGGGCAAGGCUGGUGCCAGCCGCCGCGGUAAAACCAGCUCUUCAAGUGGUCGGGAUAAUUAUUGGGCUUAAAGUGUCCGUAGCCGGUUUAGUAAGUUCCUGGUAAAAUCGGGUAGCUUAACUAUCUGUAUGCUAGGAAUACUGCUAUACUAGAGGGCGGGAGAGGUCUGAGGUACUACAGGGGUAGGGGUGAAAUCUUAUAAUCCUUGUAGGACCACCAGUGGCGAAGGCGUCAGACUGGAACGCGCCUGACGGUGAGGGACGAAAGCCAGGGGAGCGAACCGGAUUAGAUACCCGGGUAGUCCUGGCCGUAAACGAUGCAUACUAGGUGAUGGUACGGCCAUGAGCCGUAUCAGUGCCGUAGGGAAACCGUUAAGUGUGCCGCCUGGGAAGUACGGUCGCAAGGCUAAAACUUAA
rnacentral:rRNA from 1 species